AUAAGUUUGUUAGAAUGUCGGAUGGAGGAAGAGGGAGACUGACUGAGCAGGAGAGGGAAGUGACAGCUUGUGAGAGCAGGAAGGGAGGUUAAUCUUCAGUGCUCACUGCUUGUGCCAGGCAAACUGACAGAGCAGAAGAGAAGACUGCACAGGAUGGGGAACAGGAAAACAAACUGAGCAUGGGUGACCCAAACUUCUCAGGAGUGCUGUGGAACGUAACCAAGGGGGAAACAGCUUCUUAAUAAUCCCUGCCUUGAGGCUGUCCUCAGAGACCACCACAGCAGAUUACACAUUGAGGACACCAAUGACAUCAGAUAUAUCCUGACCCAUAGUGUCCUGGACACAUCUUAUACUGCAACUCUUCUUCACUAUAACACAGUCUAGAGAGAGGGGGGAGACACCGCACCUUUCUAUGUUCAACUCAGGAGCACGACCAAAAAGAAACCAGAGCAUUACUCAGUUCUCCAGCCCACGGAGCCAAAAAAGAAAAAAAGAAGAACUCGAGGAUGCAGAGAGGGCCAAAAAG